AUUGAACGCUGGCGGCAGGCCUAACACAUGCAAGUCGAACGAGUAGCGGACGGGUGAGUAAUGUAUGGGAAAUUGCCUGAUGGAGGGGGAUAACUACUGGAAACGGUAGCUAAUACCGCAUACCAUCGGAUGUUCCCAGAUGGGAUGAGCUAUGAGGUGGUGUAACGGCUCACCUGGGCCACGAUCCAUAGCUGGUCUGAGAGGAUGACCGGCCACACUGGAACUGAGACACGGUGCAGACUCCGAGGGGAGGCAGCAGUGGGGAAUAUUGCCCAAAGGGCGAAAGCCUGAUGCAGCCAUGCCGCGUGUAUGAAGAAGGCCUUCGGGUUGUAAAGUACUUUUAGCGGGGAAGCGUUACCCGCAGAAGAAGCCCCGGCUAACUCCGUGCCAGCAGCCGCGGUAAUAC
rnacentral:rRNA from 1 species